AUGCACUGUCAGCAAGAAAAAUAAGUACAACUGAUGGAUAGUGCUGGGAUAAGUGAAUGAGAUUAAACAAGAUUUGGAUUAAUUGAGAUCGGGUUAUUAGAUAUUUAGAAAGGACACUUGAUGAUAAUAAUGAUGAGAGCGGGUUUUGCUCAUGAAGGUGUGGCAUGCUUAUUCUUGUAGACAUGUCCAUUCAGCAAUAUUUUAU
rnacentral:misc_RNA from 1 species